CACAUUUAAAGACAUAAGUUCAUCCACAAAACGUCCUGCUGCAUUCAGGGACAUCAGUUCAUCCCACGUCCACACCACCUUCUUGCUGCGUUCAAGGACAGAAGUU